GCCACGGUGGUCUAGCGGUUAGAACGUUGGCCUUGUAAUCCUGGGGUCUCGGGUUCGAUUCCUGGCGGUGCCC
rnacentral:tRNA from 1 species